rnacentral:rRNA from 1 species
CCGCGGGAUAGAGUUUGAUCCUGGCUCAGGACAAACGCUGGCGGCGUGCAUAAAACAUGCAAGUCGAACGGACCAAUCCCCGCAAGGGGUGAGGUUAGUGGCGAACGGCUGAGUAACACGUAGGUGACCUGCCCCGAAGUGGGGGACAACUCGCCGAAAGGCGAGCUAAUACCGCAUGUGACCACCGGUUCGUUCCGGUGCUCAAAGCAGUAAUGCGCUUCGGGAGGGGCCUGCGGCGGAUUAGCUAGUUGGUGGGGUAAUGGCCUACCAAGGCUUCGAUCCGUAGCUGGUCUGAGAGGAUGACCAGCCAGACUGGGACUGAGACACGGCCCAGACUCCUACGGGAGGCAGCAGUUAGGAAUUUUGUGCAAUGGGGGAAACCCUGACACAGCCACGCCGCGUGCGGGAUGAAGGCCUUCGGGUCGUAAACCGCUUUUCUCGAGGAAGACACCCGACGGUACUCGAGGAAUAAGCAACGGCUAACUACGUGCCAGCAGCCGCGGUAAUACGUAGGUUGCGAGCGUUGUCCGGAUUUACUGGGUGUAAAGCGCGCGCAGGCGGUCUUGAAAGUCCACGGUGAAAGCUCCCGGCCCAACUGGGAGAGGCCCGUGGAAACUUCGAGACUUGAAGGCGGGAGAGGCAAAUGGAAUUUCCGGUGUAGCGGUAAAAUGCGUAGAUACCGGAAGGAACACCAGUGGCGAAGGCGAUUUGCUGGCCCGCACUUGACGCUCAGGCGCGAAAGCUAGGGUAGCGACCGGGAUUAGAUACCCCGUUAGUCCUAGCCGUAAACAAUGGUCACUAGGUGUUGUGGGUAUCGACCCCCGCAGUGCCGAAGCUAACGCAUUUAGUGACCCACCUGGGGAGUACGAC